rnacentral:rRNA from 1 species
UACGAAGGAUGCGAGCGUUAUCCGGAUUUAUCGGGUUUAAAGGGUGCGCAGGCGGUCUGUUAAGUCAGCGGUCAAAGCCCGGGGCUCAACCCCGGCCCGCCGUUGAAACUGGCAGUCUCGAGUUGGAGAGAAGUAUGCGGAAUGCGCGGUGUAGCGGUGAAAUGCAUAGAUAUCGCGCAGAACUCCGAUUGCGAAGGCAGCAUGCCGGCUCCACACUGACGCUGAGGCACGAAAGCGUGGGUAUCGAACAGG